UCACUGUGUUCCUUCUCAAAUCAUCUCACCACAAGAGAUACUUCCCACUUAAUUGCUUUAACUCACCUAAAGUAACCAUCAGGCCUGCAGAAUAAUGCCAGCUAUUUGAUUAUUUUUCACGGUGCUCCCUCUCCAGGGUAGGCCUGUAAAACCCAUGCUCAGCCAUCUUCCGUUACCCCCAUGUUUGAAUCAUGGUUCUAAUGUUAAAUAGCUCAGUUCCUUUUUCUUUCUUUUUCUUUCUUUCUUUCUUCCUUUCUCUCUCUCUUCUUUCUUUUUCUCUUUCUUCUUUCUUUUUUCUUUCUUCUCCUUCCUUCCUUCCUUCUUUCCUUCCUUUCGUUUGUUUUCAUUUUUGUGGUUUUUGUUUGUUUGUUUUGUUUUUUGAGACUGAGUUUCACUCUUGCUGCCCAGGCUGGAGUGAGCGUCUCAGUGUUGCAGCCAAACGAGUCAUGAACUGGACUGGGUUUUAAUAUUUGAUGAAAAAGAGCCUAAACGCUAUCUGAUUUGGGAUAAAGAAAAAGAGCAUUAACCUUGACUAUGCCUUUAGCUCCAGCCACCUUUUUAAGAGGAUAUUGCUGGGCAGGUGGGG
rnacentral:lncRNA from 1 species